CCUACGGGUGGCAGCAGUGGGGAAUAUUGGACAAUGGGGGCAACCCUGAUCCAGCCAUGCCGCGUGCGUGAAGAAGGCCCUCGGGUUGUAAAGCACUUUCAGUGAGGAAGAACGCCUGGUGGUUAAUACCCAUCAGGAAAGACAUCACUCACAGAAGAAGCACCGGCUAACUCCGUGCCAGCAGCCGCGGUAAUACGGAGGGUGCGAGCGUUAAUCGGAAUUACUGGGCGUAAAGCGCGCGUAGGUGGCUUGAUAAGCCGGUUGUGAAAGCCCCGGGCUCAACCUGGGAACGGCAUCCGGAACUGUCAAGCUAGAGUGCAGGAGAGGAAGGUAGAAUUCCCGGUGUAGCGGUGAAAUGCGUAGAGAUCGGGAGGAAUACCAGUGGCGAAGGCGGCCUUCUGGACUGACACUGCCACUGAGGUGCGAAAGCGUGGGUAGCAAACAGGAUUAGAUACCCUGGUAGUC
rnacentral:rRNA from 1 species